UACGGAGGGAGCUAGCGUUGUUCGGAAUUACUGGGCGUAAAGGGCUCGUAGGCGGCCAACUAAGUCAGACGUGAAAUCCCUCGGCUUAACCGGGGAACUGCGUCUGAUACUGGAUGGCUUGAAUCCGGGAGAGGGAUGCGGAAUUCCAGGUGUAGCGGUGAAAUGCGUAGAUAUCUGGAGGAACACCGGUGGCGAAGGCGGCAUCCUGGACCGGCAUUGACGCUGAGGAGCGAAAGCCAGGGGAGCAAAGCGGG
rnacentral:rRNA from 1 species